CGGUGGAAUGUGAAAAAACUGAUCACUCUUGUCCAUGAAAGGCCCGAGCUGUGGGACAUACGGUCCCCUGUGUAUCUGGACCGUGUGCGCAAGGAAGUAUCGUGGGAGAAAGUCGCCCGUCGCUUGAGGCCGAGCAAAUGAGAUAAAGCGGAUCACCGAGGUUGUGCAGAAUUAGUUAAAAACCCAAGAUGAGGUGGAAUAGCUGCAGGGACCAGUUUCGGAGGGAGCUAAACGAAAAGAGCCGCAGUGGGGAUGGUGCAUCCAAGAAGCGCCCAUAUAUAUAUAUUGAUCAACUUAGUUUUCUACGCCCUGUGAUGGAGUUGAGGCCUACUAUGGACAAUUUGGAAGAGACGGAAGAAUCGGAUUUGGGUGGUGAAGAAACCCCUGCCGUUUUUUCACCAGAAUCCAGCCCACAACACCAGCAGUGGAGGCCACAGAACCGCCCAUGGCAACUAGCGCUGGGGAACAAGAAAGGCCACAAACAUCACAGCAACCUAGGAGAAGGUGGAAUGUCCGCCAGUCUUCCUCUGAGCUAGCAACUCGGGAAAUGAUAGAUGCCCGAGUUAUCGAGUUCCUAGCUCAGAGGAGGACUGAUGGGCAAGAAGAAGCAAUGUUGAGGGGGCUUGCACCACUUAUGAGGCAUGUCCCGAGAAAGAGCCAUCAUCAUUGUGUUGCCUCCCUUGCGCUAGUGUUAAAAAUGUAUUCUACCCCGUACCAGGGAGACAUACAUUUGGAGAUUACCAAGUUGCUACAGAAAAUAAUGAUGUCUGCCUCUCAGCAGCCUACCAGCUUCCAGCAGCCUACAUAUCCACCCCAUGGUCCACCUUUGGCAGGACCAACUUUCCGUGGGUCCCAAGACUGCAACUUCCCCUCCUUGCCCAGUCCAUUAAUGUGGGCAUGUAUUCUUCUGGGGCACCA